rnacentral:tRNA from 1 species
GGGCCGAUAGCUCAGCUGGUUAGAGCGCACGCCUGAUAAGCGUGAGGUCGGUGGUUCAAGUCCACCGAGCCUG